UACGUAGGGUGCAAGCGUUGUCCGGAAUUAUUGGGCGUAAAGAGCUCGUAGGCGGUUUGUUGCGUCGGCUGUGAAAUCCCGAGGCUCAACCUCGGGUCUGCAGUCGAUACGAGCAAACUAGAGUGUUGCAGGGGGAGACUGGAAUUCCUGGUGUAGCGGUGAAAUGCGCAGAUAUUGGGAGGAACACCAGUGGCGAAGGCGGCUCACUGGACCGGAACUGACGCUGAGGCGCGAAAGCGUGGGGAGCAAACAGG
rnacentral:rRNA from 1 species